rnacentral:rRNA from 1 species
GACGAACGCUGGCGGCGUGCUUAACACAUGCAAGUCGAACGAAGUGGCGGACGGGUGAGUAACGCGUGAGUAACCUGCCCCCCUCUCUGGGAUAACAGUUGGAAACGGCUGCUAAUACCGGAUAGUGGGGGAUGGCCUCGCGUCCUAUCAGCUUGUUGGUGGGGUAGUGGCCUACCAAGGCGACGACGGGUAGCCGGCCUGGGAGGGCGACCGGCCAAAUUGGGACUGAGAUACGGCCCAAACGCCUUCGGGAGGCAGCCGGGGGGAAUCUUCCGAAAUGGAGGAAAGGCUGACUGAGCAAAGCCGCGGGAGUGAUGACGGCCUUCGGGUUGGAAAGGUAUGUUAAGCGGGACGCGGUACCGGAAGAGAAAGCAACGGCUAACUACGUGCCAGCAGCCGCGGUAAUAC